AAAUUGAAGAGUUUGAUCAUGGCUCAGAUUGAACGCUGGCGGCAGGCCUAACACAUGCAAGUCGAGCGGUAGCACAGAGAGCUUGCUCUCGGGUGACGAGCGGCGGACGGGUGAGUAAUGUCUGGGAAACUGCCUGAUGGAGGGGGAUAACUACUGGAAACGGUAGCUAAUACCGCAUAAUGUCGCAAGACCAAAGUGGGGGACCUUCGGGCCUCAUGCCAUCAGAUGUGCCCAGAUGGGAUUAGCUAGUAGGUGGGGUAACGGCUCACCUAGGCGACGAUCCCUAGCUGGUCUGAGAGGAUGACCAGCCACACUGGAACUGAGACACGGUCCAGACUCCUACGGGAGGCAGCAGUGGGGAAUAUUGCACAAUGGGCGCAAGCCUGAUGCAGCCAUGCCGCGUGUGUGAAGAAGGCCUUCGGGUUGUAAAGCACUUUCAGCGGGGAGGAAGGCGUUAAGGUUAAUAACCUUGGCGAUUGACGUUACCCGCAGAAGAAGCACCGGCUAACUCCGUGCCAGCAGCCGCGGUAAUACGGAGGGUGCAAGCGUUAAUCGGAAUUACUGGGCGUAAAGCGCACGCAGGCGGUCUGUCAAGUCGGAUGUGAAAUCCCCGGGCUUAACCUGGGAACUGCAUUCGAAACUGGCAGGCUAGAGUCUUGUAGAGGGGGGUAGAAUUCCAGGUGUAGCGGUGAAAUGCGUAGAGAUCUGGAGGAAUACCGGUGGCGAAGGCGGCCCCCUGGACAAAGACUGACGCUCAGGUGCGAAAGCGUGGGGAGCAAACAGGAUUAGAUACCCUGGUAGUCCACGCCGUAAACGAUGUCGAUUUGGAGGUUGUGCCCUUGAGGCGUGGCUUCCGGAGCUAACGCGUUAAAUCGACCGCCUGGGGAGUACGGCCGCAAGGUUAAAACUCAAAUGAAUUGACGGGGGCCCGCACAAGCGGUGGAGCAUGUGGUUUAAUUCGAUGCAACGCGAAGAACCUUACCUGGUCUUGACAUCCACAGAACUUAGCAGAGAUGCUUUGGUGCCUUCGGGAACUGUGAGACAGGUGCUGCAUGGCUGUCGUCAGCUCGUGUUGUGAAAUGUUGGGUUAAGUCCCGCAACGAGCGCAACCCUUAUCCUUUGUUGCCAGCGGUUAGGCCGGGAACUCAAAGGAGACUGCCAGUGAUAAACUGGAGGAAGGUGGGGAUGACGUCAAGUCAUCAUGGCCCUUACGACCAGGGCUACACACGUGCUACAAUGGCAUAUACAAAGAGAAGCGACCUCGCGAGAGCAAGCGGACCUCAUAAAGUAUGUCGUAGUCCGGAUUGGAGUCUGCAACUCGACUCCAUGAAGUCGGAAUCGCUAGUAAUCGUAGAUCAGAAUGCUACGGUGAAUACGUUCCCGGGCCUUGUACACACCGCCCGUCACACCAUGGGAGUGGGUUGCAAAAGAAGUAGGUAGCUUAACCUUCGGGAGGGCGCUUACCACUUUGUGAUUCAUGACUGGGGUGAAGUCGUAACAAGGUAACCGUAGGGGAACCUGCGGUUGGAUCACCUCCUUACCUUAAAGAA
rnacentral:rRNA from 1 species